CACCGGCGGCCCGAGUGGUGAUCGUGAUUAUUGGGUCUAAAGGGUCCGUAGCCGGUUUGGUCAGUCCUCCGGGAAAUCUGACGGCUCAACCGUUAGGCUUUCGGUGGAUACUGCCAGACUUGGAACCGGGAGAGGUAAGAGGUACUACAGGGGUAGGAGUGAAAUCUUGUAAUCCCUGUGAGACCACCUGUGGCGAAGGCGUCUUACCAGAACGGGUUCGACGGUGAGGGACGAAAGCUGGGGGCACGAACCGG
rnacentral:rRNA from 2 species